CUCCAUAGAUGCAUACUUUUCUAACAAAUGCUAACAGUGAUGUUUUCUUUAAGACCCAUGCAGGCAAAGUUGUAUGCACUAGGGAGCUUCCCAAAGACAGUCAUUUUCACACAAUAGAGCAAAAAAAUGCAUAGAUCAGCCAACUAAUUUAUACUUCAUUAAUGUCACACACCCAGAAAGCAUGAAACUUCAAUGUGAUCUUAGAGAAGUCAAAUAAGCCAAACAGAAGCUACCAAAACAGGCCUGGUGUUUUCAUCUGAAGAAGUUUCUGUUAGGCUGCCUCAGAGAACACGGUGCAUGCUGAAAGGGCAGGCCGGCCUCGCUGCUACAUGUGUGUUCCCCCGGAGAGUGGAGAACUAUAGAGGACAUUCAGCAAAGUGUCUGGGGGCCCAAGUUGAUUAAUGUGUAGCUUUAUUUCACUUCGGGGUGAAGCACCAGAGGGAAAAAAGAUCAUAAGCUCAUUUGACAACUGUAAAGGUCACAAAGGGAGUGAUGCGGGAAACGUGAAGCUGUCAGGGAGGCGGGAACCCUGCCGUCAGAGCUUGAGGCAGAGGCUGCAGGAGUGAGGUGCCAGCUGACCGCCAGCCACGGAGGGUUUGAGACAGAUGAAACCUGAACCUCCUAGGACCCCGAGUUCUAGUGCGGGACUCUCCUAACCCCGUCAGUAAAAUGAAGAGAGUCGUCUGACGCCAGGAGUCCCAGCUCCGAGGGCUUCACUGGGGUCGUCUAAGGGCCUGACGGGAAGUUUUUGCUCGCUGGGGUGUCCGUCUCACAGGCACUCACCUCAAGUCAGCACACUGCCAGCUACAGGAGCAGGUCCCCGGAUGACUGUUCACCAGAGGGCCUCGUGUGAGCCUGAGAACCACAGGGGCCGCAGGCCACCCCCUGUACCCCACCAGGACCUUUGAGCGGCGACGCUUCCUCCUCAGGUCCCCGGAUGACUGUUCACCAGAGGGCGUCGUGUGAACCUGAGAACCACAGGGGCCACAGGCCACCCCUGCCCCAGCGAUGGGAGGGCACGUCCCCGGGGGCUCCCCUCAGGCCUGCAGACCAGGCAAGUGCCCCGGGCACUCCUCGCUGAGAACACGACUGUCAUUAGACUGGGACCAGAGAAAAGGCAGUUAUCUCCUGUUCGUCUGUGCUCACUGGCUCGUGGAGAUCAGCCUGUCACAACCCUCAGGAUCUGUGAGAGCUGGAAGUGGUGGUGUUAGUAACCCCACCAUUCCCUAUUGCAGAACAAGAAUCUGAAAGGAACCACAGCCAUCAGAGGCCUAGGACAGGCGCGCCUGCCAGUUUGCUCUGUUUUCAGACAAGGAAGGACCCUGUUCCUUUAUUUCUCCAAGUCUUCAGGCAAACAGCCUGUUCUUGAAGGUUGUCUGAAGAAGGACAAACAGUCCUAACACAACUGUGACUUUAGGACCUCCCUAGACUGAGAGUCCUGAGGGAAAUGGGAAGAAAGUGGAUAGUUCCCAACCCCUUGUCAGUGACCUGGAGCAUGAGCCUCCCCAGCUGGUAACUGAGCCUUCCAGCGGACGCUGGGCCUUGCACUUCCCUAACGCCCUCCCGUUUGAUUCAGCUAAGGGCUGCGGGGCUGGGAGUCCUAAGAGCUUCUUCCUCCACAGUGGGAAGAGCACAGAAAAGAAUCAUCCCAUAAAACUCACAUGUCAUUAUGAUAGGGACAAAAAGCAGUCAACAUGGGGGAAUUCACACCCUUUUUCCUGCCAACCCACAUGCCCUUGCUUGGAUCUCUCUGUGGAGGUCAGGGUGAUGAGUGAGGGGUUGGAAUAUUUGGGGGGGGUUGUAGAAAAGGGAGCAGGAUUUACACUGAAAGAAUAGAGCAGACAGCGGGAGUGGGUAGAAGAUACUAGAGACGUCCCCGGUGAGACGCUGGCAGCCGCGGUGAGGACCUGGCGGAGGUGGAGGCUGCUGAGGCACCGGAGGCGGUUUCCAGUGUGGACCACACAGCCCUGCAGCUCUCCUUCCUGAGACCUUUUAAACACAUCCAGAUGAUUUCUAAGGCAACCGGAGUCGAAUCUGUGGGAUGUGUAUAAACGGCUCGGCUAUACUUGGGUAACACCAAGCUAUCCAAACAGGAGACAACCCGUGUGAAUCCCUGCAGCCUACUCCAGAACCGCCCGUGUCGUUUGCUUUUUGUUAUAACUGUCAUUUUAAGCCUUUGUUUCCUCUAAACAUAUGACUUGUUGCUGCUAUUUUUGCACUUCCAGAAGUGCGGCUUCAGCUUCCAGCUCACAUCUGUAAUUGUAACAAACCAAACGAAUGGUUCUAGUGGAAAAUACUGCUCUGCUUCACUUUUGGCAUCUGAGACGUACCCCACAGAGUGAGCCUCUGUAUCACACUGAGUGAAGAGACGAACAGUUUCGCACCCAGGAGAUCAAAUUAACUAAUGAGCACGGCUGUUCCCGGCUGCGAGCCUUUCUUGUCAGGUGGUGGAGUGAGGAUUCUCUGGUGACGGAGAGCCGCAGUGAGCAGAGAGCGCUGUCUCCAUCUCUUCACUGUGAGGACACGGAGCCUCACAUCUCAUCUACUACAGGGCAAGCUCUCGUCAGCUUCGACUUCGAGAAAGGUUUCUACUUCUUGAUUGUAAAAGCCCCGGCAAUGAGGCUGAAGAUUUUUAUUUUUCUCCCCCCAAAAAUGCAGAAUGGUACAUUUUUCACAAAGAGAAUCCAGAGAAACUACUAAACAGUAGCGUACAUCCAAGAGUACCUGGAAAGUGUGCAGGGAUCAGCAUGUGAGGAUAAAUCGGGGCCUUUCCAGGAAAGGUUAUUUGAGAUCA